AUCCUUUUGUAGUUCGUGAGUGUGAUUGAGUUUUCACGCUCACGUGUGAGAUGUGUCUUCCUCAAACCUUGUUACGACAUCGGCACAUUACCUAUCUGAUG